rnacentral:rRNA from 1 species
GUCGAGCGGAAACGAGUUAUCUGAACCUUCGGGGAACGAUAACGGCGUCGAGCGGCGGACGGGUGAGUAAUGCCUAGGAAAUUGCCCUGAUGUGGGGGAUAACCAUUGGAAACGAUGGCUAAUACCGCAUGAUGCCUACGGGCCAAAGAGGGGGACCUUCGGGCCUCUCGCGUCAGGAUAUGCCUAGGUGGGAUUAGCUAGUUGGUGAGGUAAGGGCUCACCAAGGCGACGAUCCCUAGCUGGUCUGAGAGGAUGAUCAGCCACACUGGAACUGAGACACGGUCCAGACUCCUACGGGAGGCAGCAGUGGGGAAUAUUGCACAAUGGGCGCAAGCCUGAUGCAGCCAUGCCGCGUGUAUGAAGAAGGCCUUCGGGUUGUAAAGUACUUUCAGUCGUGAGGAAGGCGGCGUCGUUAAUAGCGGCGUUGUUUGACGUUAGCGACAGAAGAAGCACCGGCUAACUCCGUGCC